UCACCAUCUUCGUCAGAGCGCUGA
rnacentral:siRNA from 1 species